AUGGAGUAUUCACACAUCAAAAUGACGAACCAGUAGUUGGAAACAAAAUCAGCGGCUGAACGGUAAAGUAAAACAGAGUGUAUCAGAAGGUGGUUUUGUCGGCUUGUCGGUCUCUGUAUCCAUCGCUCCCUUUUUCCAACAGAACAGAACUGAACUCUGCUGCAUGCAUAUCAGUCGGUGCUUUUUUCUCUCUUUUCUUUCCGUUUCGAAAAACAAACUGGAGUCGUCGUCGUCCUCGUUGCUAAGCGGAUGAUCACGCCAAUGACUCACUCUGCUGUCAGGUAAUGCCAGUACUCUAUUGGCGUGACCAGAACUAGCUAGCUUAUUCCCAACCAACCAACCAAACCAGUUUUUCAUUUCUUACUGCUCUGCAUC
rnacentral:lncRNA from 1 species